UACGUAGGGAGCAAGCGUUGUCCGGAAUCAUUGGGCGUAAAGCGCGCGUAGGCGGCCCUGUAAGUCCGUUGUGAAAGUCAAAGGCUCAACCUUUGAAAGCCGAUGGAUACUGCAGGGCUAGAGUCCGGAAGAGGCGAGUGGAAUUCCUGGUGUAGCGGUGGAAUGCGCAGAUAUCAGGAGGAACACCAAUAGCGAAGGCAGCUCGCUGGGACGGUACUGACGCUAAGGGCGCGAAAGCGUGGGGAGCGAACAGG
rnacentral:rRNA from 1 species